rnacentral:rRNA from 1 species
UGGAUCCAGAACUUUGAUUCCUGGCUCAGGAUGAACGCUAGCUACAGGCUUAACACAUUGCAAGUCGAGGGGCAACAUGAAGUUUGCUUUGCAAACUUUGAUGGCGACCGGCGCACGGGUGAGUAACGCGUAUCGAACCUGCCUCAUACCCGGGGACAGCCUUGCGAAAGUAAGAUUAAUACCCGAUGUUUCCGACGCGCCGCAUGACGUGUCGGGCAAAGAUUUAUCAGUAUGAGAUGGCGAUGCGUCCCAUUAGCUUGUUGGCGGGGUAACGGCCCACCAAGGCAUCGAUGGGUAGGGGUUCUGAGAGGAAGGUCCCCCACAUUGGAACUGAGACACGGUCCAAACUCCUACGGGAGGCAGCAGUGAGGAAUAUUGGUCAAUGGACGAGAGUCUGAACCAGCCAAGUAGCGUGCAGGAAGACGGCCCUCCGGGUUGUAAACUGCUUUUAGUUGGGAAUAAAGUGCAUCACGUGUGAUGUUUUGUAUGUACCAUCAGAAAAAGGACCGGCUAAUUCCGUGCCAGCAGCCGCGGUAAUACGGAAGGUCCGGGCGUUAUCCGGAUUUAUUGGGUUUAAAGGGAGCGCAGGCGGGCGUUUAAGUCAGUUGUGAAAUGCGGCGGCUCAACCGUCGAACUGCAGUUGAUACUGGACGUCUUGAGUGUACACAGGGAUGCCGGAAUUCAUGGUGUAGCGGUGAAAUGCUCAGAUAUCAUGAAGAACUCCGAUCGCGAAGGCAGG